UUCCGAUUUGUCACGCCCCUAGUGGGCGGAUCGGGAAAAUUUUACCACUUUAUAAAUCGGAGAUAUACACGAGUAUAUGCUCCAAAGUCUCUAUCUUUAAUAGCGCCGAAAUAGAUUGCGUUCAUACGGACAGACGGACAGCAAUACGGGCAUUGCACAAAACCAAUAUACUCAUUUCAAUUUCGUGAAUGAGUCUAAAAAAUUAAUGAUCAUUUCCAAGUGUAUGCAGAGUUAUGCUAGAAACAUCUCUUCAAAUGAGGAACCUAUAAUCAAUUAUAUUUUCUAUCUCUAUCUGUCAAUCGACGUGAUCAUACAUACGAGCAUGUACCGUAUGGGAUCUACUAUAUCUCCUUUUGCUUCGUACGUAUAUUUUAACAAAACCUUUGUACCCUAUAAACGAUCAUUUUGCCCAUAGUGAGUAUAUAUUCAGAUAUGCGGUGAAGCACUAGAUAUAAGAGCUACACGAAUAAUUCCGUCCAAUGAGUGACGCUUAUUGUUAAAAUUUAAUUUUAAAAUAGAAAUGAAUGAGUUUCUUAAAAAUAAUCCUCUUGUUCUCUAAAAAUAAGGUAUUUCUACUACCAUUGUGUGUAUUCGUGUAGCGUUCUACUUAUAAUAAUAUUCCGUUACCUUUGUAAUAUUAAUAACAUUUUGUCAAUUGUUUCUAAUUUUAUUUUCAGAAUGUUGAGUUUGUGUUAUGUCUUGAUACGAUAACCCGAAGCUUAGAUUCCAAUCAACCUAAUGUAUUAUAUAUGCAUGUUUCAAAACCACCUAAAGAAAAAACUUCAAUAAGUAAUUACUUUAAGCUUCUAAAAUCAAUCGCUGGUCAUCACAACAAAAACCUAACAGUGGAGGGUAUUCAUAAAAAAAUAAAUCUAGCCGACUCCAAAUUAUCGUGGGAGUAUGAGCGUUUCUGUAUGAAACGGUUUCCUGCAUUUACAUUAUCCUCAGCGAAAUCCCCUGUAAGUCCGCUGCGAACUACGAUGUUUAAGGAUAACGAAUCGUAUAUAAUAGAGCAUUUGGUUAUUUCCGUGAAGAAUAUAGCCGAAUCACUUGCUUGUUAUAUGUAUAAAAUAGAUCCCUUCUCUGAAGUUUUUGAAGGUCAUGCUGCUAUAAUUGAAGACAAUAUUCGUCCAUACCUCGGAAUCAAAGCGACUUUGCAGAAUAACGACAUUAAAGACGGAUUUGAAAAAUAUCUGAAAAACGUCAAAAUAUUUUUUGACAAACCGGAUGAACGGGAACCAGAUUUUAUGUUUUAUAAUAGCAACAAUCCAAAGCUUAAUAUCUAUCGAGUCAAGCCCGCAAUAUUUGAUCUAUUUCUAACUUUCGCUAUAUCCGUUUAUCUGUUUGGUGUUUAUUUUGCCAUCCAUUUUUUUCCCAGAUUUUAUUCAUUAAUAUCGAACAGCACAAAUAUUUACAUUCGCUGUUUUAUUAAAUCAUCACCUAACGCCUUAAAACGAAAAUAAAAUACCCACCACUAAAU